rnacentral:rRNA from 1 species
GAUGAACGCUGGCGGCGUGCCUAAUACAUGCAAGUCGAGCGAACAGACGAGGAUCUUGCUCCUUUGACGUUAGCGGCGGACGGGUGAGUAACACGUGGAUCACCCACCUAUAAGACUGGGAUAACUACGGGAAAACGGAGCUAAUACCGGAUAAUAUCUUAAUCCGCCUGGUUCCAUAGUGAAAGGCGGUUUUGCUGUCACUUAUAGAUGGAUCCGCGCCGCAUUAGCUAGUUGGUAAGGUAACGGCUUACCAAGGCAACGAUGCGUAGCCGAGCUGAGAGGGUGAUCGGCCACACUGGAACUGAGACACGGUCCAGACUCCUACGGGAGGCAGCAGUAGGGAAUCUUCCGCAAAGGGCGAAAGCCUGACGGAGCAACGCCGCGUGAGUGAUGAAGGUCUUCGGAUCGUAAAACUCUGUUGUUAGGGAAGAACAAAUGUGUAAGUAACUAUGCACGGCUUGACGGUACCUUAUCAGAAAGCCACGGCUAACUACGUG